rnacentral:rRNA from 1 species
CAAUAGCGUAUAUUUAAGUUGCUGCAGUUAAAAAGCUCGUAGUUGGAUUUCGGGUGGGAAUGGCCGGUCCGCCGUUUCGGUGUGCACUUGCUACGCCCACCUUGCUGCCGGGGACGUGCUCUUGAGUUCACGCUCGGGACACGGAGUCGGCGAGGUUACUUUGAGUAAAUUAGAGUGUUCAAAGCAAGCCUACGCUCUGAAUACAUUAGCAUGGAAUAACACGAUAGGACUCUGGCUUAUCUUGUUGGUCUGUGAGACCAGAGUAAUGAUUAAGAGGGACAGUCGGGGACAUUCGUAUUUCAUUGUCAGAGGUGAAAUUCUUGGAUUUAUGAAAGACGAACUUCUGCGAAAGCAUUUGUCAAGGAUGUUUUCAUUAA